UGGGAUCAUAGACUUGCCUAGUUAUACCAU
rnacentral:piRNA from 1 species